CGCGCUUGGUUGAAAAGCCA
rnacentral:snRNA from 1 species